rnacentral:rRNA from 1 species
GAAAAGAAAAUAACAAUGAUUCCCCUAGUAACUGCGAGUGAAGAGGGACAAGCUCAAAUUUUAAAUCCGUCGGGUUUCACCUGACCGAGUUGUAAUUUGAAGAGGCGUUUUUUCGCGUUUUUGAUCAGUCCAAGUCCUUUGGGAUAGGGCAUCAUGGAGGGUGAGAAUCCCGUUCGGCUGAUCAGAUUCGCUUUACGAUACGUCAUCAAAGAGUCAAGUUGUUUGGGAAUGCAGCUUAAAAUGGGAGGUAAAUUUCUCCUAAGGCUAAAUAACGGCGAGAGACCGAUAGUGAACAAGUACCGUGAGGGAAAGAUGAAAAGAACUUUGAAAAGAGAGUUAAAUAGUACGUGAAAUUGUUGAAAGGGAAACGAUUGGAGUCAGUCGUACCGGCGGAUAAUCAACCUUUCGGCGUGAUUAUGUGGAGCGUGAGGAGUUAAUCUCUUUCAUGCCUGCAUAUUCGUGUAUUUUGGGUGUACUUAUCUGUAUGGUAGGUUAACAUCAAUUUUGGUCGUUAUAAAAUGACUGGGGAAAUGUAGCUUUGAUUUCGUAUUGAAGUGUUAUAGUCUCUGGUAGAUAUAGUGACCGGGAUUGAGGAUUGCAACGGAUACCCUUUCGGGGCUACUCGUCUGAUCUCUGAUCGUUACUCUGGUGCUGAAAGCUUGCUUACGGUUAUCAAAGUUGAUGGUUAGUAGGUUAGAACGGGUUAAAUUCGUUAAGGAUGUUGACGUAAUGGCUUUAAACGAC